rnacentral:tRNA from 1 species
UGUAAGAGGGUCUUAACAACUCAUCAAUAGUCUAGUGGUUAGGAUAGGUGCCUUCCAAGCACUUGACCCGGG